GGACGCGGAGUCGGCGAUGUUACUUUGAAAAAAUUAGAGUGUUCAAAGCAGGCCUAAGCUCUGAAUACAUUAGCAUGGAAUAACGCUAUAGGACUCUGGUCUUAUUGCGUUGGUCUUCGAGACCGGAGUAAUGAUUAAGAGGGACAGUUGGGGGCAUUCGUAUUUCAUUGUCAGAGGUGAAAUUCUUGGAUUUAUGAAAGACGAACUUCUGCGAAAGCAUUUGCCAAGGAUGUUUUCAUUAAUCAAGAACGAAAGUUGGGGGCUCGAAGACGAUCAGAUACCGUCCUAGUCUCAACCAUAAACGAUGCCGACUAGGGAUUGGCGGAUGUUAAUUCGAUGACUUCGCCAGCACCUUAUGAGAAAUCAAAGUUUUUGGGUUCCGGGGGGAGUAUGGUCGCAAGGCUGAAACUUAAAGGAAUUGACGGAAGGGCACCACCAGGAGUGGAGCCUGCGGCUUAAUUUGACUCAACACGGGGAAACUU
rnacentral:rRNA from 1 species